AUUUAAGGGCUAGGCUACAAAGAGAGAGGGUUUUCUAGGUAAAGGCUGCCACCAGAGGAGAAGUAUUUUGUAGCCAGAGACCCUACCACCAGUUGGGUCAGCCAGAAGAGAGAUUCUGAGCCUUUCCCAAGGAUUUCUAAAAUAGCUGUAUCAUCUACUGAAUUAAAAUAAGUUGGAAGGAACUCGAAUAAUACGUCUGUGAAGGGAAAGGAACUAAUGCUUUAUCACCUUGGGAAAGGUGACUGUUUUCAUCCUGGCACUUUCCUUUAAGAAGCCACCAUGGUGUAGACUCUUUUCAGUGACGCUAUUACCUGUCCUCUCUUCAGUGCUGAUCUUUUCUGCAACUCUUGUGGUCUGAAUACAUGGAUUCUUGUUCAGAUGCUGCAUCCCUGAUACAACACACAGAAUUCUAUCAUUUUCCUCUUCUGUUUAGCACUCAUAUGAGAAAACACUGUGAAAAACAAUGCUUUAUUGAGGAAAAGGUUGUUUGGUAUGGAAAUGGAAGAAGAAGAAGAAAAGAACAGUGGUUAAUUCCAAUAAAAAUGUAAAUAAAGUCUUUACUUUGGAA